GUGCCUUUCGGGGAACUCGGAGGACAGGUGCUGCAUGGCUGUGUCAGCUCGUGUCGUGAGAUGUUGGGUUAAGUCCCGCAACGAGCGCAACCCUUGUCUUAAUUGCCAGCAUUCAGUUGGGCACUUUAAAGAGACUGCCGGUGUUAAGCCGGAGGAAGGUGGGAUGACGUCAAGUCCUCAUGGCCUUUAUGCCCAGGGCUACACACGUGCUACAAUGGGUGGUACAAAGAGAUGCCAACUCGCGAGAGCGCGCCAAUCUCAGAAAGCCAUCCUCAGUUCGGAUUGGAGUCUGCAACUCGACUCCAUGAAGUUGGAAUCGCUAGUAAUCGCGGAUCAGCACGCCGCGGUGAAUACGUUCCCGGGCCUU
rnacentral:rRNA from 1 species